UACGAAGGGGGGCUAGCGUUGCUCGGAAUCACUGGGCGUAAAGCGCACGUAGGCGGCUUUUUAAGUCAGAGGUGAAAUCCUGGAGCUCAACUCCAGAACUGCCUUUGAUACUGAGAGGCUUGAGUCCGGGAGAGGUGAGUGGAACUGCGAGUGUAGAGGUGAAAUUCGUAGAUAUUCGCAAGAACACCAGUGGCGAAGGCGGCUCACUGGCCCGGUACUGACGCUGAGGUGCGGAAAGCGUGGGGAGCAA
rnacentral:rRNA from 1 species